UAUGGACAUGCAUUUACCUCUCUGCCCAGUGCAAUUAUUUAUAAAUGUCUGUGGAAGAAUAGAGAGAGGAGGGAGGAAAGGAAGAAUAGAUUAUUCUGUGUCUUUCAGCUCUGUGGAGUAAAGAUAGAAGAGCAAGCACAGAGACAAGGAGGCCAGUAAAGAAGCUGAUGUGUUGAGUGAUGGAGGCUGGAAAUAAGGCCAAGUCAAUGGGAAGAGAAAGGAAGGAGAUCAUUCAAGAGAUGCUAUGGAGAGAAAUACUCAACCUGAAGGCCAACGUGGCAUCAGAGCUAAAGGAGAGGACACUGCUUGGAAUGAGUCC
rnacentral:lncRNA from 1 species